CCCUUAGAUGUCCGGGGCUGCACGCGCGCUACACUGAAUGAAUCAGCGUGCUAGAAAACCUUGUUUGACAUGGCUAGGUAACCCAUUGAAAAUCAUUCGUGAUUGGGAUCGGGACUUGCAAAUGUGUCCCUUGAACGAGGAAUUCCCAGUAAGUGCGGGUCAUCAGCUCGCGUUGAUUACGUCCCUGCCCUUUGUACACACCGCCCGUCGCUACUACCGAUUGGAUGGUUUAGCGAGAACUUUGGACCGGAGCUCGGGUGGUCAGCAAUGGCCGCCCGAGACAUACUGGGAAAUCGCUCCAGCUUGAUCAUCUAGAGGAAGUAAAAGUCGUAACA
rnacentral:rRNA from 1 species